CCAGUUCUUGUAUAGUUACUGAAAACCACUGCAUAUAGACACGUGUAUAACCUAAUAGACCUAUAUAAGAUAUAACCCAGCACACCUAUACUAUAGCACUUGCAUUGGAAACAUACACUACCGUCAAACGUUUAGACACAUUCAUUCUUUAUUCUUUAACAUCAUGAAGGACCUUUCCACUCACACCAGACUGACCCCAGAACAGUGGGAGAACCGCCUCAACAGAUUCAUCAACAACAUGAGCAGGAAUGCCAGUGUUCAGACUACACUCAGCACAUGGGGUCUAAGCUUUGAGAACGAGCUGCUGAAUCUGACUGGAAGAGUUCUUCCUGCUGAGAGGAUCCUACAGGGAGCGAGAGCAGAUGGAGUACGAUGAUCGACAGGAGGCUCUGCUGAGAGCUCUGCAGCAGAGAGUGGUGCAACAGGUUCAGAUGCUGCAGUUCAUAGAAACCUCUUCACGGCUAAAGCUGCAGAGAUGGAGGUCGAGGGGACCAUGAAGAGGCGGCUCCAGCUGGCAUCAGAGCGAGAGUGUGGGCGCAAGAGCAGACUUUUGAUAAAGGAGGGUAUUUACACUGUUUUAACUGGUGUGUUUUUUGUGCUAUUUAUUAAUUUGUUAAAAUGUUCAUAUUAUAGUCUAUUUUUAAUUGUUUAUAAAAGUCCUUGCUGUUUUUAAGUGGCUGAAUUAGUGUGUGUGCACGCGUGUGUGUGUGUGCGUGCGUGUUGGUAGCUGGGUGGGUAUAUAGUUCUGGUCGGAAGUUGACAUACCCCUUGCAGGAGAAAGAGACCCUGUGUAAUCUGUUUAAACGACUUUUACGCAUGUUUUGCAGAGAGAUCAUUUUCACCUUGCUGUUUGGGUCUCUGUCCCACACUGUUACAGUGCAGUAUUGAGAGCGCGCGAGGGAGAUCGAUUUUCUAUCAGAAACAGUAACUAUAUAAAAUGGACGUCAACACGCACCACUCUGUGAGGUCAUUUCUCGCUCUCAACAGAGUAGUUGUGAUUGUUUAGUGUUUACGACAGGGCCAAAACAUUCAAGGCCAUGGUGUAUUUUGACUGUUCCUGUAGCAUAAUCUCACCAAACUGUGUGUACACGAGUCCACAGACACUGAGUCUAUUCACAGCUCCCUGCUGUGUAGAUGUUCUGCUCAUCCUCACUGUACCGUAAAGGUCAGAACCUCACAUCUGUAACCUUGUAGCUUUCCUUAAUCAACACGACUGCGACCAAGCUUGUGUAUCACUACUAUUUUUAGAUCUCCACCUCUCAAAUCUAUCGGCGCCCUACGCAUCCGCCUCUCAAAUCUAUCGGCGCCCUACGCAUCCGGUUCAUGUAUUUCAUUAUUCCCUACAGGAAGAAACUCCGAGAGGUCAAUUAAGGGUCGGUGGAGAGUCAGAGAAAAUCCCAGAAAAAUACUGAGAACGCUCCACCACCCUAAUCAACCCUAAUGGUCUAAUCAGUUUUCCUUCACAUUAAUGGACGGUGUAGAGAACGGCUAACGAAUUGUGCCUAGCAUCAGACGAGUUACAGUCACUAGUGUACUUCAGUAACGUAGAUUUACACUCUGACUCGCCUUAUGGGACCAAACAAAAUACAUUACUGGAACUUUGACAUGCGUGUCCCUAAAUCUGAUGGGAAGUGGAGAGUCACACUCCUGUAGGACCAACUCUUAACUCUCAAAUCCAGAGCAGAAUGUGAGGUUCUGAGGUUUUUACAUCUGAGGCUUCUCAUCUGAGGAUCUCCCUCUGAAAGCUCUGCAUCUGUGGCUCUGCGUCUGAGGAUCUAUGUGUGUAGCUGUGCACGUCUGAGGUGUGGGGGCGGUCCGUCUGAGGCUCUGCGUUCAAGGCUUUACAUUUGAGGCCCUUCCUUUGAGUCUGCUGUCUGUGUUUCUGUUACUCUCUCAUUUGGCUCAUGUGAGGUCAUUUUAACCAUUUUAUGUUUGUACAUUAAUGGGAUUGGUUAGAACCGCACAAUGGGCGUGUGCGAAUAUUCAGUUUUCAUAUCGCUAAUGUAUAUGGUACAUUAUAUCGAACAGCACAAAACUUUAAAAAAUCUUUAUAGUAGAUUGACGUGACAUUGUGGACUUUUUCCUUAACUUUACAAAUUUGACAAUUACUUAGAAGCUCAGCUUGAAAAACAAUUUAAAAAAUGCUGCCUAGGUAGUAGGCGAUUAUAAUAAUAUCUUCUCGUUAUUUGAAUGAAUUUAACCAAUUUUAAGUCGGUAUGGUGUCGUUAGGGAGCAAUUAAAACUAAUCACAACUGUGAAUUUCAUAAUAAGUGAUGUUUGUUUCAUAAUUUUGAGCCAGUCAGAUAGAGGUUUUGUUUUUAAAUUAAUUGACUAUACACUAUGUUUUUAUUUGAGCUAUUUUAUACCAGUGGAUUUUUUUUACAUGUCUGGAUUUUGUUUAAUUUCAUUUUGGAAGUGCCAAAAGUCUUAAAUCAUAGUUUAAUAAUCAGAUAUGUGAACAUGGCACUAAUGCUAGACCAAGUAUUGCUACAUUCAGUUCAUUCCAACUUAUUUUUAUUCCAAGUUAGGUAAUAAUUUUAUCACACACACCUGAUAUCUUUUUGCUGUGGUCUUCCACCGCUGCCGUGGAGACCGCCCCUUUCUGAACUGAAAGCAGGAGUAUUGAUGAUUUUUAUAAUUUUUUUAUUGUGCGUGUUAAACAGUGUGAUACGUUGAGGAAUUGAUUAUUGGCACACGUCUACUGAAUAGCAAGGAUCGUUAAGUCUUUAACGUGUUAUAGUUUACACCGGAGGAACUGCAAGCAAUCUGAGAAAGGGAGAAACCCGUCAGCUACUAGAGGGCACACUUGGUCCAAAAAUGUACACACACUCCACAAAAACUCUGCAGUUGCUGAGGAGUGUUUACUCGCUCCAGUCUUCAGAAGGGAAACUACCUACAGAUUUACUUUUGAAAGACUUUCACAGGCAUCACAAACAUUUGUUUAUAUUACACUCGUAUCAAUUUGGCAGAUUUUUUUCUUCUUAAUCCGAAGCAACCACCACUUCUUUGUGUUUGUAUUUCACAAAUUUCCUUACCACAUCUUACAAGAGCUGCACGACAAUCACAACAAUCCUGUACAAUAGGCACAGCCUUUUCAUUAACAUAAUCUCAGUGAAAUAUCCUCUGUCUGUAUACUUUACACGCAAACAAAACAACUCAAGCUGAGAACUUUAUUGCUGAUUCACUUUAUACCACACCGCCUUCGAAUUCUCCAGAACAUGCUCUAAUACUUUAUCUUUUCUAUAGCAACAACCUACACAGGGAAUUGUAUGUUAUUAUAUUGUAUAAAUGUAAUUGUAGUCCAUCAUACUCUACCAUGCUAUUUAUAAUAACAUACUUUUGUUUAAUUAUUAUUUAAUCUUUUUUUUUUAAGAUUAAGGCAGGGGGCGGGGGGCACUUCCAUCAAUCAUCAUUGCAACACCUGAUCCCUAGGUGGCGGUAAUGUACAACUCGGCACAGAAGAAGAAGAGGAGGAGGAGCUGGGGGAGAAAAAGCAAGGAAGAAGAGUGUUAAUGGUGUUUACUGCUCAUCUGGAGAGUCACCGCCAUCUUUCUGCAGGGGGUUAGAAGUGUAAUGAACAGAAUCUGCUGUUUGUCAAUAACUGGAAUCUGUUCUGGGAGCGUCCUAGGUUGUUUUGUCCUGAUGGCCUGCACCCCAGCAGCCUCGGAGUGGAACUGCUGUCUGACAACAUCUCCAAGACCCUACACUCCAAGUGACUGUCUACCUCAAUGGUGCAACAAGGUAUCUGGACUAGAUGACCUAUCUGGCCUUUGAUUGGGCCUACUGCAUCUUCUGAUGGAGAUGUAAAACGAAGUGCGUGAGUUUAAAAGACCCGUGUGUUCCUGUAGUUGUUGGCAGCUCAGCGGGCGAGACGUGUGGCUCUGAUCGCUCGGAUCAAUAGUCUAAGGCUGGAAGUUCAGUAGGGUAAGUCAACACCUGUUUCAGUGUUUAUUUACAGUCACAGCGUUUAACUCACGCUUCACGUGCAGUCGAGAAGGAGGACAGGGUGAAGGAAAUGCGCCAUACCGUGGCGUAGGGCACGGCCAACAGGCUGCAGCUCCAGACCCGGCGGUGUUGAGAGGAUAGUGUGGAGGAUACGUUUGGCUCGGAUCAGGAGGAUCCUUAGGCUCUUGCCGGAGUUUCUGCGCAUGUGGUUCAUUACGCACCGGUUUCACUGAUUGCAUUUAAUGUGCAGCCGAGAUGGAGGACAUGGUGACGGAAGGUUAGCUGCAUGAUGGCAGGCUGAUGGCCGAUCAGAAGAAGGAGGAGGUGGAAGACAGGAGAUUAAUUUUUUGUUGAUGUGGUUAAAUAAAAAGUACUUGAGUAAAAUAUUUGGCUUCAAAUAUCAAAUAUUUAAUUAUUUUACUCAGUAAAACACACAUACAUAAAACACACACAGAGACACACAAGCACAAAGACACACACACACACACACAAAAAAACAGUUGUUCCCUCAUCAUCCCUCUCUUUAUUCCCGCUCUUAAUUCCCUCUUAAUUCUCUCUCUCUAUCCCCUCUCUCUUUAUUCUCUCUUUAUUCCCUCUCUUUAUUCUCUCUCUCUCUCGUGUAUGUAUUUAAUAAUUAUAUUUUUAAACAGGUAACUUAAAUUUAGUGUCUCUCAUUCUGUCAAUGUAGAUGAGCAGGAAACAACCUACCAUGAUAGAUUAAUUUUCUUGGCAGAUGUUUGUGAAUGACAAGGUCACUUAAAACCUGUAAAUGGAAUUCCUGUGACACUGUAAGUCCAUGUCAGUCAGGUAACUACUGCUAUGGAAAUUUCUGCUGGAUAGGCUUAACUCUUUUACCAGAGGCAAAAAAAUGGAACUGACUUAAAGAUUUUUUUUUACGACUCUCUAAUGUCAAUACAGAAUAAUCCUAAAGCUGUUAAGUCUGUUAAAAAGGAUACUUGAUGUGUUAGAUGUAUGAUUGAUUUUUGAUAUAAGAUACAGAAUUUUGAUUUUACUGUCUUAUAGAUUCAAGUGUCUUUGUACGACUUUGUAUUCCCCUACUGUUGUUUCAUUAAUAAUAAAAAAAUUU